AGAUAGUCAAGUUCUGAUCCAGC
rnacentral:piRNA from 1 species